UGCGAAUGGCUCAUUAAAUCAGUUAUCGUUUAUUUGAUAGCACCUUACUACUUGGAUAACCGUGGUAAUUCUAGAGCUAAUACAUGCUAAAAACCCCGACUCACGGAGGGGUGUAUUUAUUAGAUUAAAAACCAAUGCCCUUCUGGGCUUCCUGGUGAUCCAUAAUAACUUCUCGGAUCGCACGGCCUUGCGCCGGCGAUGGUUCAUUCAAAUUUCUGCCCUAUCAACUUUCGAUGGCUGGGUCUUGGCCAGCCAUGGUGACAACGGGUAACGGAGGGUUAGGGCUCGACCCCGGAGAGGGGGCCUGAGAGAUGGCCACCACAUCCAAGGAAGGCAGCAGGCGCGCAAAUUACCCAAUGAUGACACAUCGAGGUAGUGACAAUACAUACUGAUACAGGGCUCUUUUGGGUCUUGUAAUUGGAAUGAGUACAAUUUAAAUCCCUUAACGAGGAACAAUUGGAGGGCAAGUCUGGUGCCAGCAGCCGCGGUAAUUCCAGCUCCAAUAGCGUAUAUUAAUGUUGUUGAGGUUAAAAAGCUCGUAGUUGAACCUUGGGCCUGGCUGGCCGGUCCGCCUCACCGCGUGCACUGGUCCGGCCGGGUCUUUCCCUCUGGGGAGCCGCAUGCCCUUUACUGGGUGUGUCGGGGAACCAGGACUUUUACUCUGAACAAAUCAGAUCGCUUCAAGAAGGCCUAUGCUCGAAUGUUCUAGCAUGGAAUAAUAGAAUAGGACGUGUGGUUCUAUUUUGUUGGUUUCUAGGACCGCCGUAAUGAUUAAUAGGGACAGUCGGGGGCAUCAGUAUUCAAUUGUCAGAGGUGAAAUUCUUGGAUUUAUUGAAGACUAACUACUGCGAAAGCAUUUGCCAAGGAUGUUUUCAUUAAUCAGGAACGAAAGUUAGGGGAUCGAAGACGAUCAGAUACCGUCGUAGUCUUAACCAUAAACUAUGCCGAUUAGGGAUCGGACGGUGUUAUUCUUUGACCCGUUCGGCACCUUACGAAAAAUCAAAA
rnacentral:rRNA from 1 species